AGAGACCGGCGCACGGGUGCGUAACGCGUAUGCAAUCUACCUUUCACAGAGGGAUAGCCCAGAGAAAUUUGGAUUAAUACCUCAUAGUAUUAUAGGAUGGCAUCAUUUUAUAAUUAAAGUCACAACGGUGAAAGAUGAGCAUGCGUCCCAUUAGUUAGUUGGUAAGGUAACGGCUUACCAAGACUACGAUGGGUAGGGGUCCUGAGAGGGAGAUCCCCCACACUGGUACUGAGACACGGACCAGACUCCUACGGGAGGCAGCAGUGAGGAAUAUUGGACAAUGGAGGCAACUCUGAUCCAGCCAUGCCGCGUGCAGGAUGACGGUCCUAUGGAUUGUAAACUGCUUUUAUACGAGAAGAAACACUACUUCGUGAAGUAGCUUGACGGUAUCGUAAGAAUAAGGAUCGGCUAACUCCGUGCCAGCAGCCGCGGUAAUACGGAGGAUCCAAGCGUUAUCCGGAAUCAUUGGGUUUAAAGGGUCCGUAGGCGGUUUAGUAAGUCAGUGGUGAAAGCCCAUCGCUCAACGGUGGAACGGCCAUUGAUACUGCUAGACUUGAAUUAUUAGGAAGUAACUAGAAUAUGUAGUGUAGCGGUGAAAUGCUUAGAGAUUACAUGGAAUACCAAUUGCGAAGGCAGGUUACUACUAAUGGAUUGACGCUGAUGGACGAAAGCGUGGGUAGCGAACAGGAUUAGAUACCCUGGUAGUCCACGCCGUAAACGAUGGAUACUAGCUGUUGGGAGCAAUCUCAGUGGCUA
rnacentral:rRNA from 1 species